GUUCCCAUGCCGAACACGGAAGUUAAGCUCUUUAGCGCCGAUGGUAGUUGGGGGCUUCCCCCUGUGAGAGUAGGACGUUGCUAGGC
rnacentral:rRNA from 1 species